CUUGGCGACUAUAGCAAGUUGGCACCACCUGAUCCCAUCUCGAACUCAGAAGUGAAACAAUUUAGCGCCUAUGAUAGUGUGGUUUUGCCAUGCCAAAGUCGGUCAUCGCCAAGC
rnacentral:rRNA from 1 species